rnacentral:rRNA from 1 species
UACGUAGGGUGCAAGCGUUGUCCGGAAUUAUUGGGCGUAAAGAGCUCGUAGGCGGUCUGGCGCGUCUGCUGUGAAAUCCCGGGGCUUAACCCCGGGCGUGCAGUGGAUACGGGCUGGCUGGAGGCAGGCAGGGGAGAGUGGAAUUCCCGGUGUAGCGGUGAAAUGCGCAGAUAUCGGGAGGAACACCGGUGGCGAAGGCGGUUCUCUGGGCCUGUGCUGACGCUGAGGAGCGAAAGCGUGGGGAGCGAACAGG